UACAGAGGGGGCGAGCGUUGUUCGGAAUUACUGGGCGUAAAGGGCGCGUAGGCGGCCUGCUAAGUCAUACGUGAAAUCCCUCGGCUCAACCGAGGAAUUGCGCCUGAUACUGGCGGGCUAGAGAUCGAUAGGGGUGAGUGGAACUCCAGGUGGAGCGGUGAAAUGCGUAGAUAUCUGGAGGAACACCGGUGGCGAAGGCGGCUCACUGGCCCGGUACUGACGCUGAGGUGCGAAAGCGUGGGGAGCAAACAGG
rnacentral:rRNA from 1 species